GAUGAACGCUGGCGGCGUGCCUAAUACAUGCCAGUCGAGCGAACGGACGAGAAGCUUGCUUCUCUGAUGUUAGCGGCGGACGGGUGAGUAACACGUGGAUAACCUACCUAUAAGACUGGGAUAACUUCGGGAAACCGGAGCUAAUACCGGAUGAUAUUUUGAACCGCAUGGUUCAAAAGUGAAAGACGGUCUUGCUGUCACUUAUAGAUGGAUCCGCGCUGCAUUAGCUAGUUGGUAAGGUAACGGCUUACCAAGGCAACGAUGCAUAGCCGACCGGAGAGGAGGAUAGGCCACACUGGAACUGAGCCACGCUCCAGAGUCCUACGGGAGGGAGCAGUAGGGAAUGUUCCGCAAUGGGCGAAAGCCUGACGGAGCAGCGCCGCGUGAGAGAUAAAGGUCUUCGGAUCGGAAAACUCUGUUAUUGGGGAAGAACAUAUGUGUAAGUAACUGUGCACAUCUUGACGGUACCUAAUCAGAAAGCCACGGCUAACUACGUG
rnacentral:rRNA from 1 species